rnacentral:sRNA from 1 species
UCCUAGCCCAGAUGGGAGCGGCAUCCUUUUGUGGUGGGGUUCACCACAAAAGAUAUAGUGGACAGCUGGGAAUAGC